GUGUUCUUGUACAAAGGCCGUUCAGCGUCGGGAUUUACACUCGGCUCGACACGGAUAUGUGAAGAAUGAAGGGACCCUGCAGCGAAACGGAGAGCCAACCUCUGACUGAGUGCCUGUCAACACAGUCUGACCACCUGUUGAAGGGCUGUUUGAUGACGAUUUGGACUCCUCUGGGAGAUGAGGACACACCCACAUCUGUUCCAUACUGCAGCCAUGGAUGGUGUUACAGCUCUGAGUCAGCUUUGGGCCAUCAGACGCACACACUGGAAAACCAGCGCCUAUACUUCAUGCAGGAGAGACGGCCUCAGUGAUGUAGAAUUCAUCAGCAGCUGUGGAGAGAUGCAUUUGAAUAUCUUCUGGUUCCACUUUUCCUUACCUGGAAGCUGAGUAUUGCUGAUUUCUGACAAGGACACAAACCUCAGUGCUUAUCAUGGGUGUUACAUCCUCUGUGCAGCAAUUCCAGAGACAACGAGAGAGCAACGACCACUCAUUAAGACCAUACAGAAAUCUGUCCCUUUCUGGCAGCUGUGGAAACUUCCAAUAAGAAAGUUUGCAUUCUUAGAGCAAUGCUGGAUCAUGUGUGAUGUGUCAUCAUAUGAGGAUAUUACAUUUUGCCUUAAUUCUGCUCAAUUAAGUGUUUUGAUCGUUGAUCCAGUAUGGCAGCUUUGUGUUGUGCUGCAAGUUAAAAC
ensembl:lncRNA